rnacentral:tRNA from 1 species
UAGCAUAAAUUAAUGCAUCUCACUUACACUGAGAGCAUGCUUCUAUAAUAGAGUCGUUCUAAUUUG